AGUGAACGCUGGCGGUAGGCCUAACACAUGCAAGUCGAACGGCAGCACAGUAAGAGCUUGCUCUUACGGGUGGCGAGUGGCGGACGGGUGAGGAAUACAUCGGUAUCUACUUUUUCGUGGGGGAUAACGUAGGGAAACUUACGCUAAUACCGCAUACGACCUACGGGUGAAAGCAGGGGAUCUUCGGACCUUGCGCGAUUGAAUGAGCCGAUGUCGGAUUAGCUAGUUGGCGGGGUAAAGGCCCACCAAGGCGACGAUCCGUAGCUGGUCUGAGAGGAUGAUCAGCCACACUGGAACUGAGACACGGUCCAGACUCCUACGGGAGGCAGCAGUGGGGAAUAUUGGACAAUGGGCGCAAGCCUGAUCCAGCCAUACCGCGUGGGUGAAGAAGGCCUUCGGGUUGUAAAGCCCUUUUGUUGGGAAAGAAAAGCAGCAGGUUAAUACCCCGCUGUUCUGACGGUACCCUAAGAAUAAGCACCGGCUAACUUCGUG
rnacentral:rRNA from 1 species